rnacentral:rRNA from 1 species
UUUUAUGGAGAGUUUGAUCCUGGCUCAGGAUGAACGCUGGCGGCGUGCCUAAUACAUGCAAGUCGAGCGAACAGACAAGGAGCUUGCUCCUUUGACGUUAGCGGCGGACGGGUGAGUAACACGUGGGUAACCUACCUAUAAGACUGGGAUAACUUCGGGAAACCGGAGCUAAUACCGGAUAAUAUUUCGAACCGCAUGGUUCGAUAGUGAAAGAUGGUUUUGCUAUCACUUAUAGAUGGACCCGCGCCGUAUUAGCUAGUUGGUAAGGUAACGGCUUACCAAGGCGACGAUACGUAGCCGACCUGAGAGGGUGAUCGGCCACACUGGAACUGAGACACGGUCCAGACUCCUACGGGAGGCAGCAGUAGGGAAUCUUCCGCAAUGGGCGAAAGCCUGACGGAGCAACGCCGCGUGAGUGAUGAAGGUCUUCGGAUCGUAAAACUCUGUUAUUAGGGAAGAACAUACGUGUAAGUAACUAUGCACGUCUUGACGGUACCUAAUCAGAAAGCCACGGCUAACUACGUGCCAGCAGCCGCGGUAAUACGUAGGUGGCAAGCGUUAUCCGGAAUUAUUGGGCGUAAAGCGCGCGUAGGCGGUUUUUUAAGUCUGAUGUGAAAGCCCACGGCUCAACCGUGGAGGGUCAUUGGAAACUGUAAAACUUGAGUGCAGAAGAGGAAAGUGGAAUUCCAUGUGUAGCGGUGAAAUGCGCAGAGAUAUGGAGGAACACCAGUGGCGAAGGCGACUUUCUGGUCUGUAACUGACGCUGAUGUGCGAAAGCGUGGGGAUCAAACAGGAUUAGAUACCCUGGUAGUCCACGCCGUAAACGAUGAGUGCUAAGUGUUAGGGGGUUUCCGCCCCUUAGUGCUGCAGCUAACGCAUUAAGCACUCCGCCUGGGGAGUACGACCGCAAGGUUGAAACUCAAAGGAAUUGACGGGGACCCGCACAAGCGGUGGAGCAUGUGGUUUAAUUCGAAGCAACGCGAAGAACCUUACCAAAUCUUGACAUCCUUUGACAACUCUAGAGAUAGAGCCUUCCCCUUCGGGGGACAAAGUGACAGGUGGUGCAUGGUUGUCGUCAGCUCGUGUCGUGAGAUGUUGGGUUAAGUCCCGCAACGAGCGCAACCCUUAAGCUUAGUUGCCAUCAUUAAGUUGGGCACUCUAAGUUGACUGCCGGUGACAAACCGGAGGAAGGUGGGGAUGACGUCAAAUCAUCAUGCCCCUUAUGAUUUGGGCUACACACGUGCUACAAUGGACAAUACAAAGGGCAGCGAAACCGCGAGGUCAAGCAAAUCCCAUAAAGUUGUUCUCAGUUCGGAUUGUAGUCUGCAACUCGACUACAUGAAGCUGGAAUCGCUAGUAAUCGUAGAUCAGCAUGCUACGGUGAAUACGUUCCCGGGUCUUGUACACACCGCCCGUCACACCACGAGAGUUUGUAACACCCGAAGCCGGUGGAGUAACCAUUUGGAGCUAGCCGUCGAAGGUGGGACAAAUGAUUGGGGUGAAGUCGUAACAAGGUAGCCGUAUCGGAAGGUGCGGCUGGAUCACCUCCUUUCUAA